UACGUAGGGUGCGAGCGUUGUCCGGAAUUAUUGGGCGUAAAGAGCUCGUAGGCGGUUUGUCACGUCUGCUGUGAAAUCCCGAGGCUCAACCCCGGGCCUGCAGUGGGUACGGGCAGACUGGAGUGCGGUAGGGGAGAAUGGAAUUCCUGGUGUAGCGGUGGAAUGCGCAGAUAUCAGGAGGAACACCGAUGGCGAAGGCAGUUCUCUGGGCCGUAACUGACGCUGAGGAGCGAAAGCGUGGGGAGCAAACAGG
rnacentral:rRNA from 1 species